rnacentral:rRNA from 1 species
ACGUGAAAGCCUUCUGUUCAACGGAAGAAUUGCAUCUGAAACUACAAACCUUGAGUGUAGGAGGGGAGAGUGGAACUUCUGGUGGAGCGGUGAAAUGCGUAGAUAUCAGAAGGAACGCCGGCGGCAAAAGCGACUCUCUGGCCUAUAACUGACACUGAGUGUGCGAAAGCUAGGGGAGCAAACGGGAUUAGAUACCCCGGUAGUCCUAGCCGUAAACGAUGGGCACUAAGUAGAGGG